AACGCACAUUGCGCCCCUUGGUAUUCCGGGGGGCAUGCCUGUUCGAGCGUCAUUUCAACCCUCAAGCUCUGCUUGGUCUUGGGCUCUGCCGGCAACGGCUUGCCUUAAACGCAGUGGCGGUGCCAUUCGAGCUCUACGCGUAGUAAUAAACCCCUCGCGAUUGAGUCUUGGUGGAUGCUGGCCAGCAAACCCCUCUAUUUUUCUAUGGUUGACCUCGGAUCAGGUAGGGAUACCCGCUGAACUUAA
rnacentral:misc_RNA from 1 species